rnacentral:rRNA from 1 species
GCAGAACGCGAAGAACCUUACCCACCUUUGACAUGUACGGAAGUUGCCAGAGAUGGCUUCGUGCUCGAAAGAGAGCCGUAACACAGGUGCUGCAUGGCUGUCGUCAGCUCGUGUCGUGAGAUGUUGGGUUAAGUCCCGCAACGAGCGCAACCCUUAUUAACAGUUGCCAUCAUUAAGUUGGGCACUCUGUUGAGACCGCCGGUGAUAAAUCGGAGGAAGGUGGGGACGAUGUCAAGUCAUCAUGGCCUUUAUGCUUAGGGCUACACACGUGCUACAAUGGACGGUACAAAACGUCGCGAUCCCGCGAGGGGGAGCUAAUCGCAAAAAACCGUUCUCAGUUCGGAUUGAAGUCUGCAACUCGACUUCAUGAAGUUGGAAUCGCUAGUAAUCGCAAAUCAGCAUGUUGCGGUGAAUACGUUCCCGGGUCUUGUACACACCG